AUUGAACGCUGGCGGCAGGCCUAACACAUGCAAGUCGAACGGUAACAGGAAGCAGCUUGCUGCUUCGCUGACGAGUGGCGGACGGGUGAGUAAUGUCUGGGAAACUGCCUGAUGGAGGGGGAUAACUACUGGAAACGGUAGCUAAUACCGCAUAACGUCGCAAGACCAAAGAGGGGGACCUUAGGGCCUCUUGCCAUCGGAUGUGCCCAGAUGGGAUUAGCUAGUAGGUGGGGUAACGGCUCACCUAGGCGACGAUCCCUAGCUGGUCUGAGAGGAUGACCAGCCACACUGGAACUGAGACACGGUCCAGGCUCCUACGGGAGGCAGCAGUGGGGAAUAUUGCACAAUGGGCGCAAGCCUGAUGCAGCCAUGCCGCGUGUAUGAAGAAGGCCUUCGGGUUGUAAAGUACUUUCAGCGGGGAGGAAGGGAGUAAAGUUAAUACCUUGGCUCAUUGACGUUACCCGCAGAAGAAGCGCCGGCUAACUCCGUG
rnacentral:rRNA from 1 species